CUGAUUAAAUUAUUAUUUUCUCUUUAUAGAUGAUGCCAAUGUAUUUGUCGCUAGGAAUAAUAACGUUACCUACCUGACGGAAAGGGUUGUCAGGUUUUUUUUAUUUAUUUACAACAAAUCCCUGCCAAUUGCUACCUACUGUAAAACUAACCACCUUUCGAGGGGUCCCCCGGUAAAAAUCGGGUUCCGAGGGCCAAAGUUAUUGGAGUUGCUUCAACUCCCGGACAUGAAAAACAACCCGCAGUCAUAAAGUAGCCCAGUACUGUUACACAAGACAAAAUUUAGCCCCUGGUUGCACAUAAUACAUAGGUCACAAAUUAAUUAACCUUUAACAUUUGAAUGUUUUUUUCUUCUUCUUCAUCUUCUUCUUCACAGAAUGUUUAGGGCUCAGAUAGGUACAUGGAUCAACAAGAAGUCCACCAUUAUAAAGUCUUUAUUUUGCAAAGGAGUGUUGGAUUCUGGUGUUCAGAAAGAUGCCACCCGUCAGAAGAUACUGCGCUUAUCUUGUGAUGAAACGGAGCUUACUAUCUGAUCCUGGGGAAGGAUGAUGCAACAUCAGAGCUCAAUAAGGAAGCACAACAUUUCAGGUGUGUUGAACAAUGACAUGAUCGAGAAGAUACCAGAAGAAAAGAAAAGCAAGGCAAACACAAGUCGCUCUGCCUGCUGUCUUCUUAAUGAAUUUAUAAAGCAACAUUAAACGCUCUGACAUUUAGAAGACAA